rnacentral:rRNA from 1 species
UCUGCUGUCAAGGUCGGAGCUUAACUCCGGUUGGGCAGUGGAAACUGGUGCGCUACCUUACGACAGGGGUAGAGGGAAUUCCCAGUGUAGCGGUCAUAUGCGUAGAGAUUGGGAAGAACACCGGUGGCGAAAGCGCUCUACUGGGUCGCACCUGACCCUCAGGGACGAAAGCUAAGGUAGCGAAAGGGAUUAGAUACCCCUGUAGUCUUAGCCGUAAACGAUGGAUACUGGGCGUGGCUUGUAUCGACCCAAGCCGUGCCGAAGCUAACGCGUUAAGUAUCCCGCCUGGGGAGUACGCACGCAAGUGUGAAACUCAAAGGAAUUGACGGGGGCCCGCACAAGCGGUGGAGGAUGUGGUUUAAUUCGAUGCAACGCGAAGAACCUUACCAGGGCUUGACAUCCCGCGAAUCUCGGUGAAAGCCGAGAGUGCCUUCGGGAGCGCGGAGACAGGUGGUGCAUGGCUGUCGUCAGCUCGUGUCGUGAGAUGUUGGGUUAAGUCCCGCAACGAGCGCAACCCUCGUCCUUAGUUGCCAGCCUUAAGUGGGGCACUCUAGGGAGACUGCCGGUGACAAACCGGAGGAAGGUGAGGAUGACGUCAAGUCAGCAUGCCCCUUAUGCUC